rnacentral:rRNA from 1 species
CGAACGGCAGCGCGGGAGCAAUCCUGGCGGCGAGUGGCGAACGGGUGAGUAACGCGUGAGGAACCUGCCUCAAAGAGGGGGACAACAGUUGGAAACGACUGCUAAUACCGCAUAAGCCCACGACCCGGCAUCGGGUAGAGGGAAAAGGAGCAAUCCGCUUUGAGAUGGCCUCGCGUCCGAUUAGCUAGUUGGUGAGGUAACGGCCCACCAAGGCGACGAUCGGUAGCCGGACUGAGAGGUUGAACGGCCACAUUGGGACUGAGACACGGCCCAGACUCCUACGGGAGGCAGCAGUGGGGAAUAUUGCACAAUGGGGGAAACCCUGAUGCAGCGACGCCGCGUGGAGGAAGAAGGUCUUCGGAUUGUAAACUCCUGUUGUUGAGGAAGAUAAUGACGGUACUCAACAAGGAAGUGACGGCUAACUACGUGCCAGCAGCCGCGGUAAAACGUAGGUCACAAGCGUUGUCCGGAAUUACUGGGUGUAAAGGGAGCGCAGGCGGGAAGACAAGUUGGAAGUGAAAUCUAUGGGCUCAACCCAUAAACUGCUUUCAAAACUGUUUUUCUUGAGUAGUGCAGAGGUAGGCGGAAUUCCCGGUGUAGCGGUGGAAUGCGUAGAUAUCGGGAGGAACACCAGUGGCGAAGGCGGCCUACUGGGCACCAACUGACGCUGAGGCUCGAAAGUGUGGGUAGCAAACAGGAUUAGAUACCCUGGUAGUCCACACCGUAAACGAUGAUUACUAGGUGUUGGAGGAUUGACCCCUUCAGUGCCGCAGUUAACACAAUAAGUAAUCCACCUGGGGAGUACGACCGCAAGGUUGAAACUCAAAGGAAUUGACGGGGGCCCGCACAAGCAGUGGAGUAUGUGGUUUAAUUCGACGCAACGCGAAGAACCUUACCAGGAUUUGACAUCCAACUAACGAAGUAGAGAUACAUCAGGUACCCU